rnacentral:lncRNA from 1 species
UUUAUAGUCGAAAGGGGCUGCCACAGUGGCAUACAGGAGGUGGAAAGGUCUACAGUGUUGUGAGCUUAUCGCCCGUAUUACAGGACAAGACGCAUUAAAUGCGUAGCUUAGGUGUCCCUUAGCUUUAUCGAGGGAGGGAACGAGGCCCGUCCUGUCCGUCGCCGCCUCGCCUUGUUUCGACACGCGCCCAGGCUAGCGAUGCAUGCAGCGCCAUGUAGGCAGGCAGAUAGCUAAGGUUGCGCGGUGGUAGGGUCUUCACGAAGAUCUGCAUGCCACCACAUAGGUGCUUGCUGAGUUGGCUCGGAAGCCGCCCGUCGCCACGCGGGUGCCUGCCCAACUGGUUGAGGUAGCAGCUGCUUGGGGAUAGUGGUGGAGUCUUGUCCGACGCGGGCCUGGCUGUUGCCCUGCUGAUGUUCUCGGCAAGGACCUUGCCGGGGGCCUGACAAGGGUCUUGCCGUGGCGUUGCAGUCGUCCCUGGCAAGGGUCUUGCCGGGGGUCUUGUGGCUUUCCUCGGCAAGGAUCUUGCUGAGGGUCGCCGUCUUUUGGUCCUCAUUUGAACUUGUGCAUUCAUGAUCUUGACGAAGAUCUGCAUGCCACCUCAAAGGUGCCUCCCGAGCCCCCUGGGUCCAACAUAGUUGGUUAGGUCGGAACCCGUGGGCUCAAGGGUGGCUCGCCCUGUUGGUGUCGGGCAAGUCGCCCCGGCAAGGCUCUUGCCUGGGCCGCGGAGGUCGCCCCGGCAAGAAUCUUGCCGGGGGAAUCCACCUCGCACCUUUGCUCCUGUGUAUCAGACCUUGGCAUUGUCUUGGUUGUCUUGUACUUCGGCUUCUAUCCGGCUUCCCUCCUUGGUCCUGCUAUGUGUGGCCGCGACGCGUGGCUCUAACUGCCCGUGCACAAGUAAAGGGGUCAAAAGGAGAGCCCCUACUUUUGUACACCGACAGGAGCCCCCGGGCCUGGGCCACACAUAAGGGCGACACGUUGUUGGGCCAGGCCCAGAACGGUGCGCGGGUAGGUGGGGCGGAUUUUGCCGCAGUAAUUCUUCAUCCGCUGCGCUUCCCCACGACCCGCGUUGAACGCGUGUCGUGGAGGAUCAUGUGUGAUGUGGGGGGCAUGCGUGGGGCGGUUCCCAUACGCACGCGUCACAUUGGAGUUAAUGGAAAAGGAGGCGGCCCGCGCCUUCCCCAUAAAAAGGAAUAACCGCGGGUGCACUGCUCACUUUACCCCCCCCCCUUCGCGUCUUCUCCAAUCCCAGAGCCGCCGCUCCCUUUCUUCCUCCUUCUCGAGUUCUCGCCUUCGCUUGCCGCCACUGCGCCUUCUCCAUCCUCCGCCCCUUGCUUCUCGCAGCCGCCAUGGCGCCCAAAUUCACCAAGGGCAAGGGAGUGGCCAAGGACGCCGGAGUGGCAGAGCCGCCAGAGAAUGCAUUGGCGGCGCAGCGGACGCAGCCCGCCUACUUUCCCUCGAAGAUCGACGUGUUCGAGCUCCGGGAGGCCUUCAAACCCCUAUGGGCGGUGAAGACGGGGGGAGAGAUGACGGGGCACCCAGCUAAGUGCGUCAUCCCGGCCAAUUGCACCGAGGCCACCCCAAAUCGGUACCCUUUCUUUGUCGACUACUUCUCUUGCAGGCUCUGUCCCCCCUUCUCUAAUUUCUUCAAUGACGUCAUGCACACCUACAGCUUCCAUCUUUUCGAUUUUACUCCAAAUGCCGUGGCGUGCAAUGCUCUUUUGUGCACCUCUACGAGGGCUUCACCGGGGUGCAUCCCAACACGACGCUCUUCCGCCACUACUUCUCCCCUCGGGUUCAACUGGGGGCGCCAUUUCUGGUUGCGUCACCUGGAUCCCACGGUCCAAGGGGGCAUACCCGGAGGGCGCCAUGAAGGAGAGGUUGGAAGAAUGGCGGGCCCGGUGGUGUUGGAUCGAAGAGAAGGACCCGCCGGAUUUUUUCUGGGUUCACGACGCGCCGCUGGUUCGCUGGGGCGACUAGAGUGACCUUGACACCGAUGAUGCGAAGCUCACGGUCGCCACCACCAGGAUCCUUUGCCUUACCGAGGCCGGGCUCGCCCUUGAGAUGAUCGGGGCAGAUUUCAUCCGCCGCCGAAUCGCUCCGCUGCAUAACAAGGGGAGGCCAGCCUGGCUCUUCACGAACGCCGCCGACAUCAUGAGGCUUCGCCCCGGCCUUGACCACAACUUCACGAUGAUGGGGCACGCCCACUUCUGCCAGCGGAUCUUCCAGCUUGAUGUGAACCGCGAUGGCGAGGUCGAGCAGACCGGCAAGGCCGCGAGGGCUGCCGCGAAGGCCGGCAAGGUCACCACGGGGCCCUUGUUCAAGUUGCCGACAGGAGUGGUCCCGCUGAGCAACAACUCGCGCCAGACCGACAUCAUGGCCAUGAUGCCAGACAUUAAUGCGCAUGGCCUUGACCCGAGCUGGGUCGAGCCAGAGGAAAUUCAAGUGCAGGAGUUCUUCGAUACCUUGCAUGAGGGGUAUGUCACCGCCGAGCCGCGGCUCAUCCAGGACACCACCCAGGUAGAGCUGGACUACAUCACCGCCAGGGCCAUGGAGGUGAAGCUUGCCGAGGAAGCCGGCAGCGCCGGUUGUGUGGAGGACAAGGCCGCGGCGGAGGCGGAGGAGAAGGAACUUGCCCAGUGGGCAGAGGCCGCUAGGGAGGUCAGCAGCGCCGGCACCGGGGCUCCUCUCGUCAAGGGUGCGGUCGGCAAGUCGUCAGAGGAGGAGGCCGAGGCUGUCGACCCUCCGGCCACGGGGAGAGGGCGAGUCCUGCGGCGGGCCACUUCCGGUGAGCCGUUCCGGCCCGCCAAGGCCGCGCGGCGGCCAAAGUCUCCGGAGGAGUCCACACGUCAGACGAGGGCCGCGGUGGCAAAAAAGGUGGUGAAGGCCGCGGUGGCGAAGAAGAGAGCAUCUGCCUCCUCUUCAUCCAAGCGCGCGCAGACUCCGCCCUCCUCCCCUCCUCCGGCAGACAUCGACGCGGAGGUCACCUUUGACUUUGGGUCCCUCAGCCCAAGGAAGAAGAGGAAGGCAACAGAGGAGGAGGUGGAUGACGAGUAAGUAUCUUGCUCCUUUCUGUCAUCUCCGUCUCCUCAAUCUGUGCCGCUUGUCUUGACUUGUUUUCACCUUUGCAGGGAUGCAGAGACGCUGGCCCAGAGGGUGAAGAUGGCCUAGGCCUCGGCGGGCGGCUAGCCCCCAGCGGGUACUUCGAGGGCACCACUAGUGGUGUUGAGUAGCCCAGACAGCAGUCCUCGGCACAGCCCCCAGUGUAAGUUCAUCACUCACCCCUCGUCAACAUGUGUCGGGGGUACGAUCCCUUGGUGGUGACCUUGCCGUGGUCGCAGGAGCAGGACAGCAGCAGGAGGAGCCACAGAGGGCUACCCCCAACAUGCCGCCCCCAUCGACCACGCUGCCCCGAGGGGCAUCUCCGGCAAGGGCGGCAAGCACUGAGCCCACACACAUGGAGGAGGAGGAGGAGAUCUCGGACGCCGGUGGCUUUGCCUCAGCGCCAAAUGUUGGCGGGGAGGGGACCUUUGCUCCCCAGCCCGGCGCUGGUAAGCCGUUCGCCUUUCGUCCCUGCUCUUUUUCUUUCCUUGCUGGCUCUUGGUCUUGGCUUUGUCUCAUCCCCUUCUUGGUAUCCAGAUCGUCUUUCGGCGGACCAGGAGGACAUAGAUGCCGUCAUCGAGGAUGUCUGCAAGGACGCCGCGGCAGAGGCCGAGAAGAUCGCUACCGUGGAGACCGUCAAGGGCGCUGCCGAAGACGCUGCCAUUGGGCCCGCCGGGGAGCCCGGCAAGGGGCCUGUCGGGGAGGCCGGCAAGGCCGCCAUCGAGGAGGAGGUGGUCAAUGACCAGCCUUCCUCCUCUGCUGCCUCCGGCUCCGGCAGGUAUCGGAGGGUGACCGAUGACCUCUUCAUCCACCUCCUAGGGGCGUCCAGCUCUAGGGCGCCCAUCGAGGGAGAGGUGUUCGACAAAGAGGUGCUUGCCGCCGCCGGGCUCGAGGUCGUCGAUGAGCCGAGCGCCGGUGGCGACGGCUCUCAGGAGGAGUGGCUUCUCCAGGCCAUGGGCGCCAAUUUCCGGAAGCUCCAGGCGCUCCACCGCGCCGCCUGGACAAGGCCAAGUCCAGGAUGGCAACAGUGGACAAGGCGGAGGCGGACCUCAAGGUGCGCGUCGCCGAGGCGUAGACUUGGUUCUGCCAAGCUAGUGAAGAGCUGAAGGCCGCCUAGGGCGAGCUGGCCAAGCACGACGUGGAGCUCACCAUGAAGCUGGCCGACAUCAAGAAGGCCUAGGAGACAGCGGAGAGCUUGGCCGCCGCAGUAGAAGCUGCUCGGACCCAGCACCAGCCCGCGCUGAACUCCCAGGAGGAGGAUCUUUCCAAACGCGAGGCGGAUAUUGACGCCAAACUCCGCGCCAAGGACGAGGAGGUGGAGAAACUAUUGGGGAACGUUGCAGAAAAUUAAAUUUUUUCCUACGGUUUCACCAAGAUCCAUCUAUGAGUUCAUCUAAGCAACGAGUCAUGGGAGAGAGAUUGCAUCUACAUACCACUUUGUAGAUCGCGUGCGGAAGCAUUCAAGAGAACGGUGAUGAUGGAGUCAUACUCGCCGUGAUCCAAAUCACCGAUGACCAAGUGCUGAACGGAUAGCACCUCCGCGUUCAACACACGUACGAAGCGGACGACGUCUCCUUCUUCUUGAUCCAGCAAGGGGGAAGGAGAGGUUGAGGAAGAAGGCUCCAGCAGCAGCACGACGGCGUGAUGAUGGUGGAGAGGCAGUACUCCGACAGGGCUUUGCCAAGCACUCAACGGAGGAGGAGAGGUGUUGGGGAGGGGAGGGGCUGCGCCUUGGAUCAGGUGUUCAGCCCUCCCCUCGCCCCUCUAUUUAUAGGGGAAGCGGGAAGGGGGGCCGGCCCCCUCUAGAUGAGAUCUAGAGGGGGGGCAGGGAGGGGGGCUUGCCCCCCAAGCAAGGGGGGCGCCCCCACUAGGGUUCCCCCCCAACCCUAGGCACAUGGGCCUACGGGGGGGGGGGGGGCGCCCAGCCCUCCAAGGGCUGGUUCCCUGCCCCUUGUGGCCCAUGAGGCCCUCCGAGAGGGGUGGCCCCUCCCGGUGAACCCCCGGAACCCCUCCGGUGGCCCCGGUACAAUACCGAUAUGCCCCCGAAACUUUCCGGUGUCCGUAUGAAAACUUCCUAUAUAUAAAUCUUCACCUUCGAACCAUUCCGGAACUCCUCAUGACGUCCGGGAUCUCAUCCGGGACUCCGAACAAUAUUCGGUAAUCACAUACAAGUCUUCCUAAUAACCCUAGCGUCAUCGAACCUUAAGUGUGUAGACCCUACGGGUUCGGGAGACAUGCAGACAUGACCGAGAUGGCUCUUCGGUCAAUAACCAACAGCGGGAUCUGGAUACCCAUGUUGGCUCCCACAUGCUCCUCGAUGAUCUCAUCGGAUGAACCACAAUGUCGAGGAUUCAAUCAACCCCGUAUACAAUUAACUUUGUCAAUCGGUACAUUACAUGCCCGAGACUCGAUCGUCGGUAUCCCAAUACCUCGUUCAGUCUCGUUAUCGGCAAGUCACUUUACUCGUACCGUAAUGCAUGAUCCCGUGACCAAACACUUGGUCACUUUGAGCUCAUUAUGAUGAUGCAUUACCGAGUGGGCCCAGAGAUACCUCUCCGUCAUACGGAGUGACAAAUCCCAGUCUCGAUCCGUGUCAAUCCAACAGACACUUUCGGAGAUGCCUGUAGUGCACCUUUAUAGUCACCCAGUUACGUUGUGACAUUUGGUACACCCAAAGCACUCCUACGGUAUCCGGGAGUUACACGAUCUCAUGGUCUAAGGAAGAGAUACUUGACAUUGGAAAAGCUCUAGCAAAACGAACUACACGAUCUUGUGCUAUGCUUAGGAUUGGGUCUUGUCCAUCACAUCAUUCUCCUAAUGAUGUGAUCCCGUUAUCAACGACAUCUAAUGUCCAUAGUCAAGAAAUCAUGACUAUCUGUUGACUAACGAGCUAGUCAACUAGAGGCUUACUAGGGACGUAUUUGGUCUAAGUAUUCACACAUGUAUUACGAUUUCCGGAUAAUACAAUUAUAGCAUGAAUAAAAGAAAAUUAUCAUGAACAAGGACAUAUAAUAAUAAUCCUUUUAUUAUUGCCUCUAGGGCAUAUUUCCAACAGAAACUUGUCGUGCAGCGGACCCAAGAGCUGGAGCAGAGGCACAGGGAGGCGCUCGAUGCCCAGGCUCUGGUUCACGCCGGCAAGGUGAAGGAGCUGGAGGUAGAGCGGGACAAGCUGAAGGGCCAGGCCCUGGCGCUAUCCCAGGAGAAGGACACGCUCAACGGCGCCCUGACGGAGGCGCAUGGCGCGACUGUCAGCAGGGCCGGGGAGCUCUUCGAGGCCAAUAACUCCAUCAAAGACCUCAAGCUGAAGCUGGAGGGUCUCGAGGGGAUGCUGUCGGAGAGCAAGGCGCGGGAAGAGAUCAUGGCCAAGGAUCUGGAGGCCGAGAAGCUGCAUCGGAAUAACGAAGCCGCCAGCCACAAGGAUUUUGUGGAGGGCGAAAAUCACUGGAUCAGCCGCCUCGAGGACGUCGCCGGCAGGAUCACCACGCAGCCGGCUACCAUGGGGAUGCCAAAUGUGAGGUACGCCCCGGAGCGCAGCGGGACUACCAACGCCAAGUUGACCCUGUUCUUCGAGUGUGUUCUCGGGGCCCUGGAGCAAUUCCACUCCAACAGGGCGGGUUUACUGGCCGGCGAGAACUGAAGGCUCUGCCAGGGUGCCAUGACCAAGGUCCUCACCAAGGUGGUGUACUGGAACCCCACCCUUGACUUCGACGCCGCACUGGAGAGCUUGCCGGAGGGUACUAACCUCGCGCCGCUCAAGGAGCGUAUCGAGCCCAUCAUCAGCCUGAUCAACGGAAUUCAAAGGGUGGAGGGCCAGCGCCGGGAUUAGGCACCUCUUUUCUUAUCGCUGCUGCAGAUUCAUGACCAAGACGAUUUCAAUCUUUAGUUAAAACCGCAGCAACAAUUUGAUGUAGUAUAACUCUGCAGUACUUUUGAUACAAUGCAUGUUAUUUUCCCGUUCGAUUUUCCUUUGCAUGUCCACCCUACGUUAACCGGGUAGGCUUGCCGGUGCGUAAACCCAGGGUGGUGUCUUGAGGACGGAUCCCCAUUGGCCUGCCGGGUGUGCUUGCCGCCGAGUAAACCACCUUAUCGCCCUAACGUGGCCGCCCGACCUAUCGAGCUUGACUCGAGUCAGAAUUGAGUGUGUUGCCAAGUGCGGAAGGCUACCUUGCCACUCUCGACGCGGCCGCUUGAGCUGUUGAGCGGACUCGAAACAGAACAAGGGCGUUGCCAAUUGCUGGAGGGCCCCUUUGCGUGCAGGUUUUCCAUACAUAGGCAGGAUCUCCGAGGACAAUAACCUUAUGUAUAAAAGGAAAUUGCUCAAGGCUCUGGAUGACUUAGCUUUUCCAUCUGCGCUGGUAUCCUCCGCGCUUGCAGGCGGCGCCGUUUUCUCCUGUCUUCUUCUUCUUGGGAGCCAUGGCAAUGAGGAACUGUUAGGCUAACUAUUAGACCAGAUUCUCACAAUUGCGUCCCCUACCUGGCGCCAAAGAUGUCGGUGGGGAACGACACCUACGGGAUCACAAGAAUCCCUACUACGGUUGCUGGGGCACAGGGUUGUGAGAAGAGCAGGAAUAACAGUGAACACAAGGAUCGUUUACCCAGGUUCGGGCCGCGAGGAUGCGUAAUACCCUAGUCCUGCUUUGGUGGAUGUAUUGAAAGAGUUCUCGAGCUUUCGAACUAGCUAUGGUGGCUGCGUAGUCCAAAAAAGCCGAAUCUCUCUCCAGUAUGCCAUGGGCCUCCUUUUAUAGUCGAAAGAGGCUGCCACAGUGGCAUACAGGAGGUGGAAAGGUCUACAGUGCUAUGAGCUUAUCGCCCGUAUUACAUGACAAGACGCAUUAAAUGCGUAGCUUAGGUGUACCUUAGCUUUAUCGGGGGCGGGAACAAGGCCCGUCCCGUCCGUCGCCGCCUCGCCUUGUUUCGACACACGCCCAGGCCAGCGAUGCAUGUAGCGCCAUGUAGGCAGGCAGACAGCUAAGGUGGCGCGGUGGUACGGUCUUCAUGAAGAUCUGCAUGCCACCACGUAGGUGCUUGCUGAGUUGGCUCGGAAGCCGCCCGUCGCCACGCAGGUGCCUGCCCAGCUGGUUGAGCUAGCAGC